UUUCACUUAACCAUUCCCCUCCUGCAGCCAAAGUGAUAGCAGCUGUAGCAUCCACCGGUGAUGUGUGGAAGAGGGUAAGCUUUCUAUGUGGAUAGGACGUAUCAACACCUUUUGCAUUUUUAAUUUUAAAGGAAAUAUCUAAAAAUAAUAAUAUUGUGUUGGGUCCUGCCAUGAAAGAUCUCCUCCGGGAUUGGAUCCCGGUGAAAAGAGAUCCAUUAUAAAAGUAUAUAUACUAUAUAUAUACAUAAAUAUAUAUUUAUAUAUAUACUAAAAAGGUGGAUUUCGCCCUGCAAUCCUAAGGGCCAGGAUUCAAUCUCCACUGGAGCCAUUGUGAGGAAUAACC
rnacentral:lncRNA from 1 species